rnacentral:rRNA from 1 species
UACGUAGGGGGCAAGCGUUAUCCGGAAUUACUGGGUGUAAAGGGAGCGUAGACGGUAAUGUAAGUCUGGAGUGAAAGGCGGGGGCCCAACCCCCGGACUGCUCUGGAAACUAUGUUACUAGAGUGCAGGAGAGGUAUGCGGAAUUCCUAGUGUAGCGGUGAAAUGCGUAGAUAUUAGGAGGAACACCAGUGGCGAAGGCGGCUUACUGGACUGUAACUGACGUUGAGGCUCGAAAGCGUGGGGAGCAAACAGG